rnacentral:rRNA from 1 species
UACGUAGGGUCCGAGCGUUGUCCGGAAUUAUUGGGCGUAAAGGGCUCGUAGGCGGUUCGUCACGUCGGGAGUGAAACUCGGGGCUUAACCCCGAGCCUGCUUCCGAUACGGGCAGACUAGAGGUAGGCAGGGGAGAGCGGAACUCCUGGUGUAGCGGUGGAAUGCGCAGAUAUCAGGAGGAACACCAGCGGCGAAGGCGGCGCUCUGGGCUGGCACUGACGCUGAGGAGCGAAAGCGUGGGGAGCGAACAGG